UUGCUUUCGAGAUUCAAGAGACCACAUCCUCAAUUCGUUCAUCUCAUCUUCAUCCACGGUGGUUAAAUUGCGCGCUUGCUUCAGGCGCGUCAAUCUACUGCCAAAUAAGACUCUCAGGGAUACCAUCAAUCGAAUUUGGAGUCUGGUAACAGUAGCACUGAUAACGCUGGGAGUGCUUUCCAAGUUCAAGGAAAGAAAAUGAAAAAGAAGAAAGUUCGCAUGCCUUCAAACGGCUAGCAUAAGACAUCAUGGUAUAUGAUGAAGUAUGAAAGUGCUAGAAUCUUGGGUAUUCGUGCUGUGCAAAUUAGCUAUUUUCAAACUUAUGAAUACUCCUGUGAUGGUUGAGUUGGAAGGAGAGACUGACCCACUUGAGGUGGUCACUCAUUGCAGGGAGACUUCCAGGGCACUGAAAUCAUGAAUCACUUGGACCUAUGUGCUAUUUAUCUUGAUUUUGUUAAUCUUGUUAUAAAUUAGUGUAGCCUCAAUUUUUGAUGUACAAAUGAACUAAUUGUUUUUUAUUCAAGAAAUAAAAGAAAAGAGUGUGGAAUGACAUUUGGG